CCAGGGCCAUAAUCCCCAGCUCAACUUUAUGCUUGCAUAAAAGUUGAGCUGGGGAUUCAUGGCCCGCCCCCAUCAUGAGCAUAAAAGCGAAGCGUCAGCUUCGCGAUAUGCGAAUGGUGGGCUCAGAUUGCGGGAGUGCUUUGCACGGAGCAAUCUGAUG
rnacentral:sRNA from 1 species